GGUCUAUGAUGAGCCGGCAUGUAUUCUGAAUCUAAAGUUGAUUACGACUACUUUAGCUCUAGAAUUACUCUGAGACCUG
ensembl:snoRNA small nucleolar RNA SNORD45